rnacentral:tRNA from 1 species
GCCAAUGUAGCUUAGUGGUAGAGCGUCUGCUUCGUAAGCAGAAGGUCGCGGGUUCGAUCCCCGUCGUUGGCU